AUUGAACGCUGGCGGAAUGCUUUACACAUGCAAGUCGAGCGGCAGCGCGGCCUUCGGGCUGGCGGCGAGCGGCGAACGGGUGAGUAAUGCAUCGGAACAUGCCCAGUCGUGGGGGAUAACACUUCGAAAGAAGUGCUAAUACCGCAUACGUCCUGAGGGGGAAAGCGGGGGAUCGCAAGACCUCGCGCGAUUGGAGUGGCCGAUGUCAGAUUAGCUAGUUGGUGGGGUAAAGGCCUACCAAGGCGACGAUCUGUAGCUGGUCUGAGAGGAUGAUCAGCCACACUGGGACUGAGACACGGCCCAGACUCCUACGGGAGGCAGCAGUGGGGAAUUUUGGACAAUGGGGGCAACCCUGAUCCAGCCAUUCCGCGUGAGUGAAGAAGGCCUUCGGGUUGUAAAGCUCUUUCGGCAGGAACGAAACGGUGGACUCUAACAUAGUCCGCUAAUGACGGUACCUGAAGAAGAAGCACCGGCUAACUACGUG
rnacentral:rRNA from 1 species